ACCCAAAAGCUUCCAAAAGAGAGGAAUAUUAAAGCCUUGUAUUGUAGCUCCAAAAUCAGACAAGAUGCCCCCUCAAAAUCCCAAUAAAUCUAUUUAUAGUGGGUCAAAACUCGGGACAAAAUUUGGACAAAAAUACCCUUUCCGGUUAAAUAUGCGACCGCAUAUCCGUCACAUAACAGACAUGCGGUCCGCAUUCUUUACAUAACCAUCAUAUCUUCAAACCCUAGUUUCCAGGCCUUCAUCGCAUCGAUGUUCUGCGGUCCGCAUUGCAGAUAUGCGAUCGCAUUUCGCAUCGCAUUUUCUACCUUCAGCAAUCUUCAUGUCGAGUUUGUGGUCCAUUAUGCGGCUCACAAACAGGUUAUACAAUCGCAGAUUGGACCGCAUUUCUUGCACAGGACUUUGCCCAGAAAUCUGUUGUGGUUUGCGAUUCCCUUGCGCAUUUUGCGGCUCGCAUGUUGGAUUUGCGAUCGCAUAUCCACAUUUGUGAUGCCUUUUUGCUCUUUUCUUGUCUCUUUGUGGCUUUUUGAUUUCAUUUCCAUACUCUUAAGUCCUUAAACCUCAUACACUGCAAAAAUAUUAAAAUUACAUAAGUAUAAAGAUAAUUGCAUUUAAAACAAGCUAAAAUCUAAGCAAUUUGUAUUAAAUAUGCCGAAAUUCUCCGGCACAUCAUGGACCAAAAAAUUAGAGGUCACCUCUCUGUCUACAGUGAGACGGUUCACUAGAUGUUUAUUAUUGACAAUUUGGCAAUAUAGUGUGUGAACUGGAAUGAAUACAUGGUUUACACGUUUAUUAUAAGUAAGAAGGCAUGUGAACUGGAAUACUAAUGUAAUAUCUUCAGCUAAUACCUAUGGCAAAAAGAUUUGCACCAAUAGAUUUAUUUAUUUUGCAUAAUGAGCAAGUGACAGUGAAAAUAGAGAAAGAACUUUCUUCACUUAUAAGCGGGGGUCAAUUUUUCCUCAAAUAUUACCGCUUCUACUUCAUCAAAACUUGCUUAAAUCAUCACGUGAACACUUUCUCAAUCUUUGGUAUUAAACAAUAUCAUCAAAUACUAUUUUUACUUCCUAUUCUUAACAUCACAACUAGCCUAUGUUAUACCAAACGAAAAAUACUACAACACAAUUAUAUCCCUUUUCCGCCUUUGGUAUUUUUUUGUAAUGGACAAGUAUGACCUACUAAAGCCCAAAAACAACAUAGUAACAAGCAACACUUUUCAUUGUUUUGAGCUGAAAUUAUGACAUCAAGAAAAGUAAAAUUAGGAAUAAAGAAACAAACUUUAUCAACUUACGUAUUUUUGAGACUCGUAAACAAAUGAUAGAAUAAUAUGACACAUAAGGAGUCAAGAACAUAAGCAUCUCUAAUAUUUCUAUAAAUAGAGUCAUGUUUGAAAAUAACAAAUUUGCUCGUUUCGUUUAUGCCAUAUGGAUCAUGCCAAAAGAAAGAAGGGAUAGCCUUAACAUACCUAGAUUAGGAAAAGACCCGUAUGAUAUUCUGGAGAAAGAUUGUACCUCAAAUAAAUAUAAUCAUGUGCUAAACAACAAAGGGUACUCUUAUUUUGUCAAAAUUCCUGCUUUGCUUUGCACUCUUGUUUCUCAAUUUCGAAUAUCCCGUGAUUGAUGAAGAAGAUGUUAUCCUUUGGAGGACUAAAAUCCUUUUAAAUGUUUGAUCUCUUAUCGCUGAGUAGACCCUUAGGAUUCACUUAUGGUGAUGCCUAAUGGUGGCUUAGUUUGUACGAUAAGCUCUUGUCUAAGUUACAUCUAAAUUCAAAGUGAAACUAAG
rnacentral:lncRNA from 1 species